GAUGAAGAACGUAGCGAAAUGCGAUAAGUAAUGUGAAUUGCAGAAUUCAGUGAAUCAUCGAAUCUUUGAACGCACCUUGCACCCUUUGACAUUCCGAAGGGUAUGCUCGUUUGAGUGUCAUUGUACUCUCACACUCUCCGAUCCUAUGGAUUCGGGGAGCGGUGGACUUGGGUGUUGCUGCCUUUCCCUGUGGCUCACCUCAAAUGCGUCAGUGCACCUCUUGGUUGGACAUAGUACGGCGUGAUAAGUGUCUUCGCCGGCACCUCGCAAGAGGGUGGCCGAUCGGGAGCUCUGCGCUUUCAAACCGUCUUCGGACAAUUUCUGACAUCUUGACCUCAAAUCGAGUAGGACUACCCGCUGAACUUAAGCAUAUCAUAAGCGGAGGA
rnacentral:misc_RNA from 1 species